rnacentral:rRNA from 1 species
GUGGGGAAUAUUGGACAAUGGGCGCAAGCCUGAUCCAGCCAUGCCGCGUGAGUGAUGAAGGCCUUAGGGUUGUAAAGCUCUUUCACCGAUGAAGAUAAUGACGGUAGUCGGAGAAGAAGCCCCGGCUAACUUCGUGCCAGCAGCCGCGGUAAUACGAAGGGGGCUAGCGUUGUUCGGAUUUACUGGGCGUAAAGCGCACGUAGGCGGUUUGUUAAGUCAGAGGUGAAAUCCCGGAGCUCAACUCCGGAACUGCCUUUGAUACUGGCAAGCUAGAGUCCGGAAGAGGUAAGUGGAACUCCUAGUGUAGAGGUGGAAUUCGUAGAUAUUAGGAAGAACACCAGUGGCGAAGGCGGCUUACUGGUCCGGAACUGACGCUGAGGUGCGAAAGCGUGGGGAGCAAACAGGAUUAGAAACCCGGGUAGUCC